rnacentral:lncRNA from 1 species
GGGGUCGGGGGCGUGCAAUCUAUACGUCUUCUAGAUUCGCCACUUAUCUUAUAAAGUGUAUACCGAAUUAAAAUAUUGUAAGAAAUAAGAAAACAGGGACACCCGCGAAAUCGGAUUCUGUGAGUUUGAUUAUGUUUAUUAUAAACAUUCUCAUUGAUAUUUUUAAACAAGCGACACUAAGUGAUUCGAAUUCAUAGCGUUUUGAACUAUUUGUAUAGAGCUGCAUAUGUCAAAAGUUAGAAGGUUUGAAUGUAACAUAUACAAGUAUGGAACACAGAUCUAACGAUUUUACCCCCUUUUUGCCAUAUGUCCAUUGCCCUUGCCCUUGACCUCAUUUCUAUAUUAUUUUUCCUUCGGCCACAUGACGAUUCAUGUGACCGUGAACUUAUUUCCUUCAUUGAUUGGUAAAUG